CGGACAACGCUGGCGGCGUGCUUAACACAUGCAAGUCGAACGGUACCCCUUCGGGGGUAUAGUGGCGGACGGGUGAGUAACACGUAGACGACCUGCCCUUUGGUGGGGAAUAACAUCUCGAAAGAGAUGCUAAUACCGCAUAAGUUCUAUGUUGUAGGACACAGAAGAAACCUUGCUCGCAAGAGGAGGGGCCGAAGGAGGGGUCUGCGGCGGAUUAGCUAGUUGGUGAGGUAACGGCCCACCAAGGCGACGAUCCGUAGCUGGUCUGAGAGGACGAUCAGCCACACUGGGACUGAGACACGGCCCAGACUCCUACGGGAGGCAGCAGUGAGGAAUAUUCCACAAUGGGCGAAAGCCUGAUGGAGCGACGCCGCGUGAGGGAAGAAGCCUUUCGGGGUGUAAACCUCUUUUAUCUCGGAUGACACGCACUCGUAGCGAUACGGGAGCUAAGACAGUACGAGAUGAAUAAGCCUCGGCUAACUACGUGCCAGCAGCCGCGGUAAUACGUAGGAGGCGAGCGUUGUCCGGAUUUAUUGGGCGUAAAGAGCGCGCAGGCGGCACAUCAAGUACGCAGUGAAAUCUCCCUGCUCAACGGGGCGGGCGCAGCGUANACUGGUGAGCUAGAGGACGGUAGAGGGGGGUAGAAUUGCUGGUGUAGCGGUGAAAUGCGUAGAGAUCAGCAGGAAUACCCGUGGCGAAGGCGGCCCCCUGGGCCGAACCUGACGCUGAGGCGCGAAGGCUAGGGGAGCGAACGGGAUUAGAUACCCCGGUAGUCCUAGCAGUAAACGAUGGCCACUAGGUGUGGGGGGUGUUGACCCCUUCCGUGCCGAAGCUAACGCAUUAAGUGGCCCGCCUGGGGAGUACGGUCGCAAGACUAAAACUCAAAGGAAUUGACGGGGGCCCGCACAAGCGGCGGAGCGUGUGGUUUAAUUCGAUGCAACGCGAAGAACCUUACCAGGGCUUGACAUGCUAGUGGUACGGAUCAGAAACGUGAAGGACCCUUCGGGGAGCUAGUACAGGUGCUGCAUGGCUGUCGUCAGCUCGUGCCGUGAGGUGUUGGGUUAAGUCCCGCAACGAGCGCAACCCUCGCCGUUAGUUAUAUUUCUCUAACGGGACCGCUGGGAUAAACCCAGAGGAAGGUGGGGAUGACGUCAAGUCAGCAUGGCCCUUACGUCCUGGGCUACACACACGCUACAAUGGCCGGUACAAUGGGCUGCCAAGGCGCGAGCCGGAGCUAAUCCCCCAAAACCGGCCCCAGUUCAGAUUGCAGGCUGCAACUCGCCUGCAUGAAGGCGGAGUCGCUAGUAACCGCAGGUCAGCUACACUGCGGUGAAUACGUUCCCGG
rnacentral:rRNA from 1 species